CUCCUGUGAGACACUGUCAUCAUGUUCAAAAUGUGUUUAAUCUUAUCAGUAGAUAGAUAUUAAUGAUGGGUCCCAAUCCCAAUUUAGAAUUGCCCACUUAACAGGUUAUUUGGUAAAGAUCUGUUGAUGCAGUGUUUGGUAAUUGUGUUACUGAGACACAAUGUAUUCCUGUAUAGUUAAGAGCCCCUAGUUAAGAAGACUAGACACUACUAUGUUUAUUGUUAUUUAUGGGCCGCAUCAUUCUUGUUUCUCACUUCAGUCUUUCAUCACACUUAUCUUCACAGAUGGUGUUAAAGCACUGUGUUGCAGGAAGUGCUCUGUGCAAUCAUCUGGUGGCCCUUCUUUACCAGACAGCACACUACUCUCAACUAAACAUUCCUGCUGCACCACCAGUUCACAGCUGCACAGACACAGAUACAGAACAGCGUUGGCACAAGCCAAGAACUCUUGUGAGUAUAUCAAUAUCCAUAAAAAAAUGCACCUGAAAAGUAUUCAGCCUAUGUAACAGUAAAUCCUUGUUAAUUAGGGUGUGAAGCCAGGUCCGGUUGGUGGGAUAGAGUUCUGUAAACCUACUAACUCGUGGGUCCGGCUGGUGGGAUAGAGUUCCGUAAACCUAUUAACUCGUGUGCUGAUGGAAUAAGAAGUUCUCUCUACAAAGCACUCAAUGGAUACAUGCCUGACAUGGACCUUCUCCGCGUCU